GGGGUGGAGAGUGAUGGUUCAAAAAGAAAAGGAAGCACUUAGGGCAGUGAAUCACGUUUUGACCAGGAAAACACACUUGAUAAUUGAAGGAUGAUGAAGUGUCCACAGGCUUCGCUAGUGAUCUUUUGGCUUCAACUGAGCUGGGUGAGCAGUGAAGACAAGGUGAUACAAAGCCCUCCGUCUCUGGUUGUCCACGAGGAAGACAGUGUAACUGUCAACUGCAGUUAUGAAGCAGCUAACUUUCAAAGCCUACUCUGGUACAAGCAGGAAAAGAAAGCUCUGACAUUUCUAUUUAUGCUAACUUCAAGUAGAAUUGAAAAGAAGUCAGGCAGCUUAAGUAGCAUGUUAGAUAAGAAAGAACGUUUCAGCAUCCUGAACAUCACAGCCACGAAGACCAGAGACUCGGCCACCUACCUCUGUGCUGUGGAGGCACAGUGCUCCCUAGUCACCUGCAGCCUGUACUCAAAUUCUACAGCUGAGUCUCUGCAACCAUAAGAUGGGGAACUUGCUAUGUUGAGCAAGCCCUCAAAAAAAAAAAAAAAAAACCUAUAAGGAAAAGCAGUUAUUGCUCAAGAUUUUUGUGCCCAUGUUGACAAUUACUUUUGCAGUUUACUGAGUCCUAAUUCAGAUGAGUCUUAUCAGUGCAUUCACUACCUUCUCUGUGAUUUUUCUAUGGGAUUCAGCAUAGCUAAUAUUUCUAGAGGGUCACUCAGGAUACUAACUCCAUUACCACACCAUUAGAAAGCAAGCUCUUUUAUCAGGAUUGUACGGGCAACUCAUAUGUGCACUACACAUUAGGGAAUCUGCCUAACAGCUAUGGAUGUUUUAUCUUCUCCCACAGAACAGAUACAUUUAUAGAUACAGUUCUGUCUGUAACAUUUUUUUUGCUGGACCUAUUAGCAAAGAACAAAGGGUAGGAACAAGGAGGUAUCAUUCAUUACCUGAUUCAAACAAAAGGUUUUCAUUCACGAUUUUAUUAUUCUUACUUACUAUCUUCAUUUUAGGAUUGUUGCCUAUGCUAGGCACUCCAUUAAAGUGGUGAUAAAAUUUUUCAAGAUGUUACACAUUAAUUUGAAUAUUUAGUACCUUAAGCAGCCUACCAAAGGAAAGGAGUUAGCUGAAGUAAGUUAUAUGAAGCUAACAUAAACUUAGCCUACUUAUGUUGUGAUACAUCCUUUUAAUUAUGUAAUCACAUAUAUAGUACUUACAAAGAGCUUGCAAUGGAAGCCACUGUUUAUCAAAAGCAAGUACUAUGUGCCUUGUAUUUUGCAAAUAUCACCUUAUUGAAUUCUCAAAAUACAAUGAAGGAUCACCAAUAUUACUUUCAGUUGAUAUAUUAGGAAACACAAACUUAGAAAGGUUAAGCCCCCUUCCUCACCCCGUACCCCAGACAAAUAGCUAUCAGAAUCUGAAAUCAGGUCUAUCUGACUCCAAAGUCUAUACUUUCUUCAUUACAUGCCCCAGUGUUAAACAUCACCAAGGAAAAAAUUUACCCACAGUGUGACCACAAUUAUGUACAAAAUACGUAGAGAAAAUACUGAAAUAACAUAUGUUUAACUUGUAAAUAAAAUAACAUUUACAAUAACAUGUGAAUAAAAUAACUCCGAAAUGUCUGCAACAGU